rnacentral:rRNA from 1 species
GGGAAACUGCCCGAUGGAGGGGGAUAACUACUGGAAACGGUAGCUAAUACCGCAUAACGUCGCAAGACCAAAGUGGGGGACCUUCGGGCCUCACACCAUCGGAUGUGCCCAGAUGGGAUUAGCUAGUAGGUGGGGUAAUGGCUCACCUAGGCGACGAUCCCUAGCUGGUCUGAGAGGAUGACCAGCCACACUGGAACUGAGACACGGUCCAGACUCCUACGGGAGGCAGCAGUGGGGAAUAUUGCACAAUGGGCGCAAGCCUGAUGCAGCCAUGCCGCGUGUAUGAAGAAGGCCUUCGGGUUGUAAAGUACUUUCAGCGGGGAGGAAGGCGGUGAAGUUAAUAGCUUCACCAAUUGACGUUACCCGCAGAAGAAGCACCGGCUAACUCCGUGCCAGCAGCCGCGGUAAUACGGAGGGUGCAAGCGUUAAUCGGAAUUACUGGGCGUAAAGCGCACGCAGGCGGUCUGUCAAGUCGGAUGUGAAAUCCCCGGGCUUAACCUGGGAACUGCAUUCGAAACUGGCAGGCUAGAGUCUUGUAGAGGGGGGUAGAAUUCCAGGU